GAGGAAUGUAUAGCAAUAGCUACUUGCAUCAUUGUAGAUAUGAUGCAAGAUCGACUAUGUUGAAUAAAAUUCUAGGUAGAAUUAUGAUAAUGACAUUGUCUGCCUAUGUGUCUUGACCAAAUUACGUGCCAGCAGUCGCGGUAAUACGUAGAAGACUAGUGUUAUUCAUGUUUAAUCGGUUUAAAGGGUACCUAGACGGUAGAUCAAGCUUUCUAAUAAAGGAAAAGGACUAAUUUACUAGAGUUACUUAUGAGGGGGUAUUAAAGUACUGCUGGUGUAGAGAUGAAAUUCUGUCAUACCUCUUUUCAAAAGAAAAACCAUGGCACAGGUAUAGGCGAAGGCAUCCCCUUAUGUGAUAACUGACGUUGAGGGACGAAGGCUUUGUGUAGCGAACAGGAUUAGAUACCCCAGUAGUCGAAGCAGAAAAUGAUGAAUGUCAUAGAUUAGAUAUAUAAGUUUAUUCUAUAAAUGAAAGUGUAAGCAUUCCACCUCAUGAGUAAUUUGGCAACAUUGGAACUGAAAUCAUUAGACCGUUUCUGAAACCAGUAGUGAAGUAUGUUGUUUAAUUUGAUGACCCGCAAAAAACCUUACCACAAUUUGAAUAUUUAUAUUAUUUAUUGUUUUAUUAUUAAUUUUCAUCUUGCCAUUUUUCCUUCAUGCACCUCGUGCAUGAUGGAAAAAGAGCAAGAAGAAAAUUAAUAAAGAGGCAAUAAAAUAUAUUUACAAGCGUUGCACGGCUGUCUUCAGUUAAUGUCGCGAGACUUUGGUUAGUUCCAUUAAAUUAACGUAAACCCUUACUUUAUUUUUAUAUAGAGUAGUUCCCCGCUAUAUUGG
rnacentral:rRNA from 2 species